CCUACGGGUGGCAGCAGUGAGGAAUAUUGGUCAAUGGACGAAACUCUGAACCAGCCAAGCCGCGUGAAGGAUGACUGCCCUCUGGGUUGUAAACUUCUUUUAUAAAGGAAUAAAACGAGGCACGUGUGCCUGUUUGCAUGUACUUUAUGAAUCAGGAACGGCUAACGCCGUGCCAGCAGCCGCGGUAAUACGGAGGAUCCGAGCGUUAUCCGGAUUUAUUGGGUGUAAAGGGAGCGUAGAUGGGUUGUUAAGUCAGUUGUGAAAGUUUGCGGCUCAACCGUAAAAUUGCAAUUGAUACUGGCAGUCUUGAGUACAGUUGAGGUAGGCGGAAUUCGUGGUGUAGCGGUGAAAUGCUUAGAUAUCACGAAGAACCCCGAUUGCGAAGGCAGCUUACUAAACUGUGACUGACAUUGAUGCUCGAAAGUGUGGGUAUCAAACAGGAUUAGAUACCCUAGUAGUC
rnacentral:rRNA from 1 species